rnacentral:rRNA from 1 species
AUUGAACGCUGGCGGCAGGCCUAACACAUGCAAGUCGAACGAAGUCUUCGGACUUAGUGGCGGACGGGUGAGUAACACGUGGGAACGUGCCUUUAGGUUCGGAAUAACUCAGGGAAACUUGUGCUAAUACCGAAUGUGCCCUUCGGGGGAAAGAUUUAUCGCCUUUAGAGCGGCCCGCGUCUGAUUAGCUAGUUGGUGAGGUAAAGGCUCACCAAGGCGACGAUCAGUAGCUGGUCUGAGAGGAUGAUCAGCCACAUUGGGACUGAGACACGGCCCAAACUCCUACGGGAGGCAGCAGUGGGGAAUUUUGCGCAAUGGGCGAAAGCCUGACGCAGCCAUGCCGCGUGAAUGAUGAAGGUCUUAGGAUUGUAAAAUUCUUUCACCGGGGACGAUAAUGACGGUACCCGGAGAAGAAGCCCCGGCUAACUUCGUGCCAGCCGCCGCAGUAAUAC